UGAGGAGGGAAGAUCAGGCUCCUAGCAGGAGGAAGGAAUGCCAUCACUCUGGACAGAGCAGUGCUACCAGCAAGGACCACGGAAGCUAGAAAGAGCUCCUGGCUAGCUGCUAAGGCUGGCAGGCUGAAGCCCUGAGAAUCUAUUAUGGAAAUGCAUAGGAGCCAAUAGGUGCCAGAUCAGGCUACUGCAGUGACUCUGUGCUUCAAAUCAGUUCCUGAGGAGGCUUUGCCACCGCAGCAGCUGCAGCAUGUCCUGGGUGCAUACUUGGAGGAGCUGUUUGAUGGUCUUCUGAAGGAGCAGCCCACGACAGAACCCGCGGCUGAAAGAGAACGGGCAGAUUAGCCCAGAGCCUGGAACCAUAAGAAUUGUUACGUCCUCCAAAAGAUGGAAGGCCCAAAAUGAUAGAGAAGGCGUAGGUAGCAAGCCACGGCCUCAACUCACCAAAGGAUGGUCUGCAAUUUUUAAACACAGGAUUUGUAAAUUUUAACUGACCAUAGUUUGUGCACUCUUUUCUCUCUGAUUAACUCAGUUUUCUCCCUGGAGCUUGUUGGAACAGAAAUAUUCCCCUCGCUGUGUACUGAGGCUCAAUUUUACAAAGUAUCACUUUUUGACCUUGAGAUUCCACAAGGCACUUUUCUCUUCUGAUGAAGUGAAGCCUUUUUUUGAAUUACAGAGCCAAAAAUGUCCUGUUUGAGAUCUGCUUGCAGGUUCUUUAGCUUCUAUUGCCCCUUCUGCCUCAGCAGCUCACCCACAUUCCAGCAAAAGCCUGGGUUUCCAACUGUCAGACCAGUCCAAGGGGAAGCGUUCCUGUCAUGAACGUAUGGUGGACAUGGUGGACAGGGCCAACAAACAGGUGUAAUACCAAAGGGAGAAGGAUUCAGGGCAAGUGAAAGCCACAGGUGGGCUGCAGAGUGUGAGUUCAAAAUUACAGCGUGCAAGGAGAGACGUGCAGUGCAGGUUCUGGAACAGGAGCCUUGGUUGAAGGAGGAUGAGAGUGCAGCAGAAAGACCUGUUUUCGAGAGGCUAAUGGCCACAAGAGUCCAGGCUCCUGCUGUGCCCACAUCACAGCCGGAGGCCCCACAACAGUACCAUGUACUGCAGACCAGGAACAGUUUGGACAGUUCCAUGGCUGGCCCAUGCAGCCAGGACUUAACAGGAGCUGGACAGGGCAAAUCUAUCCCAUGCAGUCCUCUACCAUCAUGCAGGCCUUCUCUCCCCUGCAUGCCUCCUCCCCCAUGCUCACCCCGUCCACCUGCAGGCCUCCACCCUGGGCAGCAGUGCCAAGUAUGUGCUAAAUGCACAAGGAAGGGAAAGGAGAAUGGGGCAGCCAAGGGGACAUACAAAAUUAGGGGAUUUUUUUGAUGGCACCGUUUGCACUGUUCAGUGUUUGGUUUAUGCACUUUGUUUUAUUACUGCUUUGGGUGUUUGUUUAUUACUGUUGUUUCCUGUUCUAAUGGCAGCUGGCCUGCCUGGCAAUGCUGUAAUAGUGGUUGGGG